rnacentral:rRNA from 1 species
AGGUGGUCAGGUAGAGAAUACCAAGGCGCUUGAGAGAACUCGGGUGAAGGAACUAGGCAAAAUGGUGCCGUAACUUCGGGAGAAGGCACGCUGAUAUGUAGGUGAAGUCCCUCGCGGAUGGAGCUGAAAUCAGUCGAAGAUACCAGCUGGCUGCAACUGUUUAUUAAAAACACAGCACUGUGCAAACACGAAAGUGGACGUAUACGGUGUGACGCCUGCCCGGUGC